AGAGAAUGUAGGUGGCCAUGCUCUGAUGGCACCUCCCAUCUUGUCUCUGACCCAACCCAUAAGACUCUCUGGUAGUCAGGGUGAUAUGUGCCCGUGAUGCACACCCGUACUGCUGUUUGGGGUCAUCUUCCAGGGCUAUGUGGGAAGAGAAGACUAAUGGGAAGACAUUUCUUCUAAGUUCAAUCUGAACAUUCUUAGAGAAUAUCACAAAGGCUUGCUUUCAGGUUUUUAAAAAUAAUUUUCCAUUUUCAUGUAUUUACUUCUGAUUUUGUAUAUUUACAAGUUAAUUUUAUUUUGUUUGUAGUUACUAGGGUCUGAAUCUUGUGGUAUUAAUACUCCAUGAUUCAAAUGAGCAAAAACGUGCUUCCUGUUACAAAAUGGGGAGUGAAUAAUAUAGAAAAGUAAUAUUUUCCUCAUAGGACCAUUCCAUUUUGUACAGUCUCUUGAAUUCUAAUUCCCACCUGUUCAUGGGCUAUAACUUUAGUAAUAUUUCCUCAAAGUAGAUUUUGCAAGUCUAUUUUUCUUGAUCUAAAGACAUAAAGCUCAAAGUUCUUCUUGGAAAGAGAAUUAAAAACAUUUUAGUUACCCUUAUCACUUAGAAAAUCACAUGUCAGUCAAAACUUACAUGUCAUACUGAAAAAGCAAAACUCAGAUGCUGUCUGCUCAGAGAGAGAUUUCUUUGCAGUUACACAACCCACCAGGUAUUUGAAGCCCAUGAGUAAUGUGCUUCUCCUUUGUUUGUAGAAUUGUUCUUGGUUGGAAGGACAUGCAGAGGAAGUGGUGAGUGGUAACAUCCCUGCCUGGAAGGAGCCCUAAGAAGUGCCUGAACUGUACCUUUCUGUUUGCUCCUCUGCCCUGUGGAGUGCCCAGUUUGGUAAGAUGUCCUGUGAGAACCUGAAGUGUGAAGGAGCUGAAAGCAGUCAUUCUCUCUUUUGAUGAGAGGAAGAAUAGCUUCAUUCUGAAUCAAUGAAAAGACUUCUGUCUUCUUGCCAGCAGAUAUAUGUUAUCUUCACUUAUAGAAUUGAAAGUGUACCUCAAAGGAGCAUUCUCUUGGGAAGAAAGGUUUUAGAGGGGAACUCUGGAUGCUGGUGGAUCGGUGACAAAAAGCACUUAUUUUACCCCUGACCUGAGCACUGAAGAGAUAUCCUUUCACCACUGUUGCAAAUUCAUGCUUCCAAGAACUGGUGAGUUGAAAAACUUAUUCAUUGUGUCUCCAUUAAAGAAGAUA
rnacentral:lncRNA from 1 species